GAUGAACGCUGGCGGCGUGCUUAACACAUGCAAGUCGAACGGAAAGGCCCAAGCUUGCUUGGGUACUCGAGUGGCGAACGGGUGAGUAACACGUGGGUGAUCUGCCCCGCACUUCGGGAUAAGCCUGGGAAACUGGGUCUAAUACCGGAUAGGACCACUUCUUGGAGGUUGUGGUGGAAAGUUUUUUCGGUGUGGGAUGAGCUCGCGGCCUAUCAGCUUGUUGGUGGGGUAAUGGCCUACCAAGGCGUCGACGGGUAGCCGGCCUGAGAGGGUGUACGGCCACAUUGGGACUGAGAUACGGCCCAGACUCCUACGGGAGGCAGCAGUGGGGAAUAUUGCACAAUGGGCGGAAGCCUGAUGCAGCGACGCCGCGUGGGGGAUGACGGCCUUCGGGUUGUAAACUCCUUUCGCUAGGGACGAAGCGCAAGUGACGGUACCUAGAGAAGAAGCACCGGCUAACUACGUG
rnacentral:rRNA from 1 species